UAUUCCUACGGGAGGCAGCAGUGAGGAAUAUUGGUCAAUGGGAGAGAUCCUGAACCAGCCGAGCCGCGUGAGGGAAGACGGCCCUAUGGGUUGUAAACCUCCUUUGUCGGAGAACAAAACCCGGGACGUGUCCCGGACUGCGUGUAUCCGAAGAAAAAGCAUCGGCUAACUCCGUGCCAGCAGCCGCGGUAAUACGGAGGAUGCGAGCGUUAUCCGGAUUUAUUGGGUUUAAAGGGUGCGUAGGCGGUCCGUUAAGUCAGCGGUACAAUUGCUGGGCUCAACCCCGUCGAGCCGUUGCAACUGGG
rnacentral:rRNA from 1 species